UCCUUCUGGCCAAUCAGGAGCCACGUCCUCCGUCGCUCUUCUUUCCCGCCCCGCCCCUCCUGUCUCCAUGGGAACGCCCCGAGUGUCUAUUCCAAGGCCUGGGGCUUCGGUUUCUGACUAGCGGGCUGCGGCCAUUGUUUGUCUAGACGGAGAAUUUUGGCUGGUCCCCGUCCCUCCACAGAGGCUCUGGAAGUGAGGCAGACUCCCGGGAGCAUCAAGCUAGAAGCGAACAUGGGCGGGGAGAGCUGUGACUGAAGAUUGAGUGGCAGAAGGACAGCCAGGAGGCCGAGAGGCCGCUCCGCCUUAGAAAUCUAGGAGAUACCAGCGUAGGGGGGGUCCUACACAGCCGCCCUCCCCACGUUAAAACGGAGUGAGGGACGGGAACGGAGAGGCACAGGCGGCUUGCGCCCUGGGGCCGGAGUGCUAGGUGCCGGGAGGUGUUGGGGCGGAGUUCGGGCCGGGCGUCUGGAUGCGCAGCGGAAGCCGGGCGUGUCUUUGCUGCAGGAGCAGAGGCCGCGCGGGUCCCGCUCCGUGAGAACCGUUUGUACGUCUGAAUCCCGGGCUUGAGAUGUACCCGUGAUCAGCAAGGAGGACCGGGACGGCAGAGGCUCAUGCCCCCGUUUUACAGCUCAGCCUUUUCAACACUCCAUCCUUCCCCAAAAAAGGAAUAUAGAGGAGGAAGGAAUGUUCAUUAUUUUCCUCACAGUCUGAUCCCAGAUUUCUUCUUUCUGGAAAGCCUGAUCUUUGAACAGAUGGCAGUAACAUUUGAAGAUGUGACUGUUAUUUUUACUUGGGAGGAAUGGAGAUUCCUGGAUUCUUCUCAAAAAAAGCUCUACAGAGAGGUCAUGUGGGAGAACUACACAAAUGUCAUGUCAGUAGGAAACUGGAGAGAGAGGUACAAACCCCAAGAAAAAAGAUUCAGAUAUUUAACACAUGACAAUCUUUCUUGCUGGCAUGGCUGGAGGAAUGCCAGCACUCAGAUAUAUGAGAAUCGAAACUAUGAGGAAAGUGUUCAAGGUAGAGAUUCCAAAGACCUAAAGCAGCAACACCUUUCCCACUGUCAGGAAUGGUCACUAGUCUCCACACAAGUACCAGAGUAUGGCAACCAUGAACUGACUUCUGAAGGCAAAGGUCCCAGGAACUUAAAAUAUACAAAGUUUAUACCUGGUCAGUCCUUAGAAACAAAACACACUGAAGACGAUGGUAGAGGAAUCUAUGUGCGUGAUUCACGUGGUCUUCAAAGUAGAUGCCAUGUUGACAUAUCCAGGAAAAAUCUCUGUAUGGAAAAAGAACAGAAGUUCAUAGGUCAGCAUUCUUACCUCCCAAUAGUGGAAGACCUUCCAGAGUAUGCUGGGGAGAUAUGCCAAAAUGACCUGCUAAAUGGCUCUAUAGAAGAGAAAUACUGUGGAUGUGAUAAAUGUAAAGAAAUGUAUUUUUGGAACUCACCAUGUGUUCUCCACAAGAGAAACCAACUUGGAGGAAAGUUCUAUCAAUGCUCCAUCAGCACAGCAUGCUUCCCCCAGAGGUCAGACCUAUACAGACAUCCAAGAAUCCACAUGGGUAGCAAGCUGUACAGAUGUGAAGAAGCUGCCAGUAACCUUAGCCAGAGCUUAGGUGUUCGCUUUCAUCAGAGAGUCUACCCAGGGGAGGUGCCUUAUAUAUAUAAUGUGCGUGGUAAGAGCUUCAGUCAGUUCCCUAGUCUUCACCAUCAUCAAAGAGUCCACGCUGAAGAGAAAUGCUAUAGACUGCAAUGUGACAAGGACCUCAGUAGAAACUCAUUGUUUCACAUUCACCAGAGACUUCACAUUGGAGAGAAGCCUUUUAAGUGUGGUCAGUGUGGUAAGAGUUUUAGUCGGAGUUCAGUACUUCAUGUUCAUCAGAGAGUCCACACCGGAGAGAAGCCAUAUAAGUGUGAUGAGUGUGGUAAGGGCUUCAGUCAGAGCUCAAAUCUUCGAAUUCAUCAGUUAGUCCACACCGGAGAAAAGUCCUAUAAAUGUGACGACUGUGGGAAGGGCUUUACCCAGCGCUCAAAUCUUCAAAUUCAUCAGAGAGUGCAUACAGGAGAGAAGCCUUAUAAAUGUGAGCACUGUGGGAAGGACUUCAGUCACAGCUCAGAUCUUCGCAUUCACCAGAGGGUCCAUACUGGGGAGAAACCCUAUACGUGUCAUGAGUGUGGGAAGGGCUUCAGCAAGAGUUCCAAACUCCACACUCAUCAGAGAGUACAUACUGGAGAGAAACCCUAUAAAUGUGAACAGUGUGGUAAGGGAUUCAGUCAGCGUUCACAUCUCCUCAUUCAUCAGAGAGUCCAUACAGGAGAAAAACCCUAUACAUGUGAUGACUGUGGAAAAGGCUUUAGUCACAGCUCUAACCUUCACAUUCAUCAGAGGGUCCACACCGGGGAGAAGCCUUACCAAUGUGCUAAGUGUGGUAAGGGUUUCAGCCAUAGCUCAGCUCUUCGAAUUCAUCAAAGAGUCCACACAGGAGAGAAAACUCAUAAAUGCCAUGAGUAUUAUAAGGGAUUUGAUCAGAAUUCACAUCUUCACAGUAAUUGCAGAAGAGAAACCUUAUAAUUCUGUUCAUUUAGUUAACAGCUUUAAUCAAAGCUUCACCUUAAGCCCAGUAAAUGCUGAUGGGAAGGAAAUUCUAUAAAUAACCCAAAUAAUCUCAAGCAAUAUUUAUAUUUGCCCUAAUUCAUACUAGGAAUCAUUUGCUUCAAGAGGAGGGCCUAGUAUUUUAAAUUAAAGUAUUUUUUCUAUUAUAAAUAUUAUGCAUAGUCACUAAAAAAAAUGUAAGUCAAGAAGAAAACUUUUCAUCCUAUUUCAUUCUGGUCUUUUUUUAUGUGUAUGCAAUUAUACUGUAUGUUCAACUUUGUAUUUCCACUGACUUCAUAACAUUUACUAUAUUUUGGUUUGAAUUGAAAUUGGUUAGCUACCAAUGAAACAGCAUCUUGACUCCCCUGUAAAGUCCCUAGGAAGCUACAGAAAAAAAUGAAAACACAAAACUUGAAAUUCUAACUGGUAGACAACCUGUUGCUCAACUGCGGAAGAAGUGAAUUACAGGGCCAGUAGAUUUCAGUUGCUUAUGACAAAAGACAGGAAAACAUUGUAUGACCUGUUAUCCAAGAUAGGAUUAUCUUAGAGAUGUUAUUUCUGCCAACCAGAAAACUCAGGAACCGUCCUUUUGUCACAGAAGUGCUGCACUCUGAGGUUACCAUAAUACACUCACCCAUUCCCCUCCCCAGUUUUCCACAUUUAUUCAUAGGUUCAGACACCAAGUAACAAGAAGUAUGAUUUAGUUUCUCUUCGUAGGUGUGUGAAAAUUCUGGUUAUUCUCAAAACCAAAGAGGGAGAAUGGAUAAAGACCUCUGCAACAGUAAAUGUCAAAAGACAACAGAAUAACAUCUUCAGAAUUGUGAGAUUGAAAAUCUCUUUUAUCGCCUAUAGUUUUUUUUUUUUAAUCAGCUGAAUUGUCCUUUACAUGUGUAGGUGACAAAUUAGAUAAGAAAACAAAAUAUAUCAUAUGUGUACCUUUCUUAAAGAGAGCUCAAGAAUGUGGAAGUCACAGUAUAAAAGAACUGGUGACAAACACUAAAAUCAGUUAAACAUGCAGUUAAGUCUGGAAUAAUUAAUUUGUUUACAAAGCUUUAAAAAUUUUAAAUAGUUGUGCAAGAAAAUAAUAUACAAAUGCUGAGUAUAAAAACAGAUUAUAUGUUAAAGUCUGGGUAGGAAAAUAGAGUUUUCAGACACUCAGUUAAAUUUGAAUUUCAGAUAUACAAUGAUAAUUUUUUAGUAUUAAGUAUGUCCCAAAUAUUGCAUGGAACUUAUACUAAGAAAUUGUUUGUUUAUAUGAAGUUUGAAUUUAAUAGCAUUUUGUGUUUUUAUUUGUUAAAUCCGGCAACUAAAUGAGGGAAGGACAGCAAAAGAAAGUGUGCUACAUUUCUGAUCUUAAAUAGUGUGGAUUCAUUACAUUUUGUUCCUGACUUUAACAGUUCUAGAAAUAAAGGUCUUAAUUUUUUUUUUUACAAAGUUAGAAAUUACAACUAACUACUAACAAAAGCACAUAUUUCUUUCAAAACAGAAGAUAAAAAUAAAGAAUAUUCAGUCCCUAUAGCAAAAGACAGAAAGAACAAGAUGAUCUAAAAAAUUAGAGAAUAUGGAUCAAGAUGAAAGCAAAUCAAAUUUAUCAAAAUAAGUUAAAUCUCCCCUUAAAAAGUCUGAAAACCCUAGAUUGAGUUAGAAUUUUACCUAUAUGCUCUACAACAGAAAAGAUUAAAGCAAAAUACUGAUCAAUUUUCAACUGAUCAGUUGCUCAAUACUGAGCUAUUAAUUUUAUUGAUUUAAAAGAAUACACAAAUAUUUGGCAAACAUAAAGGUAUCCCAAAAUAUGUUUUUAAAAGUUAAUUUAAAAAUAAACUAAUUAAACCCAUUAAGGUGGAUAAAAAUAUAAAAACCAAUAGUAUCCUAAAUACUUGCAAUAAUCAGAAUACAGUGGGUGCAAAAAAGAGUUUUUAAUACUAAAAUUUCUUAAAUAGGAACAAAUAGCAAAAAUGUAGAAUGAAAAUAAUGAAAAGCAAAACAUUUAAUUAUAAAUAAAAGAGGACUUGAAUAGAGAAGUCCUAUAAUUUUUUCAGAGGGAAUGUUCCUUAAUUUAUAGAUUUAUUUCAAAUCUGAUCAAAAUCCCAAUGAGAUCUGAAAUUAAAAAAUAUUAUAAAGUCUUUUAAGAAAAAGAAACAUUGGAAAAGAGCAGAGAUAAUUAUAAGAAAGAUUAAUGAUAUUACCCUCAUAUAUAAUAAAUGAUAUAUUGAAAUUAAAAUGUUGAGAACUUGAUCAUACAUUUUAAAAAAUGUUCAGAAUGCUCAGUUACUGAAUAACUCAGAAAUAAAUCAGUGUAUGGAUUACAUAUGUAUAUAUAACAUUAAGUAAAUAUGCUUAAAUACAUAUGACAAAGACUUACGAAUAGAAGGAUUAUUCAGGAAAUUGUGCUGAGAAAAUUAUUUAACUCUUUGAUGAAAAAUAAAAUUAGACUUUCAUCUCAUGACUGACAUCUUAUAUAUUUUGACCUACUAAUAUAUAUUGAUUAAAGCACAAAUUUUCAGCCUGUGUUCCACAAACCCCUAUAUGUUUUCAUGAAAGCUGUCAUCAAAAAUAAAAAAAACACAAGCUAACCCCAUUUUUUAAGUGAUUCACAUUCAAGAUUAGCACAAGAUAUUUUUUAAGAGGAGGUGCUACUCUCUGAAACAUAAAAUUUUAAACAUUUACCCAAUUUUACAUAUAGUUAUGUAUGGUUUUUAUAUAGUUGAAAACAUAACACACGUGUGCAUUUUUUGAGAGUUUGAUGUACUGGAAGAACUCAGAAAAAAUGCCUAAGAAUUGGACCACAGUAAAAAAUUUUAAACUGUAGGUUAAGAACAUAUGGAAGUCAAGACAACAAUAGGGAAAAUAUUUUCCAUGAUUAUGAUAGGAACUUUUAUAAAUUAAUAAGAUGGACACCUAGUUAAAAUGGCAAAGGACAUCAACAGAUUAAAGCAAUGAAAUACAACUUUUAUUAACAAAAAUUAUAAUAGCUAUUUUCAGUGAGAGUACAGAUGGAUACUUACUACUUAUGUUGAAGGUAAAUAGACUUUUUGGGAAAACAAUUUGGCCAAUCGUGACCCUCAAAAUUGUUACUACUGUUUCCUUGAUUUCCUAUCUAGGCAUAUAUCCUGUGGAAAUAGAGUUGCACUCUAUUAGGGAACUUCUGUUUGCAAAGAACAGAGAUCCACUUAACUUACCUCAUUUAAAUAAAGUUAUAUAACAUUAUGUUUUAAAAUCACACACACACACAAAUCCAAGGACAGAAGCUUCAACAGGAGAACUUGCUCCAGAAAGCCAUUAGACAAUGAGACUACUUUUUCAAGAACUUAUUUUUGUUUCUUUGGUUAUCCUCUUUUCUUUCUACAGACUGACCUCCUGUUUACUCACUCUGCGCAUGCUUAUCAAAUUACCACCACAUCCCUGAUUAAGUUUUUUUGAUUUUAGUGCCCACCACUAACAUGUAACUUCUUUCUGAGUCUGAGAUUCAGAUUUCUGAAUGAGGGAAAAUGAUUGGCUCAGUUUAUAAUUACUACCUCUAGACAACUCUUUUAGGCCAGUCUAAACCAUAGGCUACUAGUAAGCUUCAGACUGGUUAGCUUCGUAUCAGAUGUUCACUCUGGUGUUUUCAGACAUGCCCAGGGAUGGGAUGACAGGCAUGUAACAUGGUUGUUAGGGCUGAUGUUCAAAUAAAUUUCUCUAGAAAGUGGUGGGUCUGGACCAAGUAUUCUGAACUACAUUAGAACACAUACAUAGAUAAAUGUUUGAGAUAUUUAUUGAAGUAUUUUUAUGCUGCCUUCCCCUAAAAUAGGGGAAAGGUCAAAUAAAUUAUGAUGCACCUAUAUGAUGUAAUGUUAUGCAGUCACUAAAACUUAUAUUUUCCAAGAACGUUGUAACGAUAAGACUAUACUUACGGUGUUAAGAGAAAAGUACAAGAUAUAGAACUCUAUAUGGGGUAAAAUUCUAUUUAUAUAUUUAUACAGGUAUUUCCAUGGGGAAACUAUUGAAUAUAUACAAAAAUGUUAUUAGUGGGUUUCUUUGAUAGGAUGGAUUGUAGUUAUCUUUAUGUACUUCAUACUUUUCUGUAUUGUUUUCUAUUUUUACUGGUGUCUUUUCAUAAAAAAUAAAAAUCACUUUUUUAUAUACAACUUUUUAAAAAUGUUAAUGGUACAUGAUAUUCCAUUGUGUGGCUGUACCAUAAUACUUAAUUAUCUCUAUGUUAUCAGGGACUUAGACUUUUAAUUUUUAUAUUAUGAAUUAAACUGCCAUAAAUGUGAUCAUGUAUGAAGUUUUCUAUUUUAGGUAAUUUUUACAAUUUUCUAUAUUCAAUUAUUGGGUUAAAAGAUAGGAGGCAGAAGGUACAAGCUGUGCAAAGAAAUGGAAUAAUGAAAUUCCAAUGUAUAUAACCAGCUGCAAGGAGCCUCACAUUGUUAGAGCAGAAAGGUGAGGUUAGAAAAUGGUCAGAUCAUGAAGGUCUUACUGUGCCAAGCUAAAAAGUUUCUACUGGUCAUGGAGAAGCAUUAAAGAAUCUUGAAUGAAGGAACAACAAUGUCAUUUUGAAAA